UAGUAACGGCGAGUGAAGCGGGAAGAGCUCAAGCUUAAAAUCUCCGUGCAAGUUUUGUGCGGCGAAUUGUAGUCUAUAGAGGCGUGGUCAGCGUGGGCGCUUGGGGCAAGUUCCUUGGAAGAGGACAGCAUGGAGGGUGAUACUCCCGUUCAUCCCUGAGUUGCUCGUGCGUACGGCCCGUUUUCUUUGAGUCGCGUUGUUUGGGAAUGCAGCGCAAAGUAGGUGGUAAAUUCCAUCUAAAGCUAAAUAUUGGUGCGAGACCGAUAGCGAACAAGUACCGUGAGGGAAAGAUGAAAAGAACUUUGAAAAGAGAGUUAAAGAGUACCUGAAACUGCUGAAAGGGAACCGAAUCGUUUCCAGUGUCUAUAAUCCGUGGUAUAUUUCAUUGGCGAGUGUGUGCGUGCGUGUGCUAUGGCAGCGGCUUUUUUAGGCUGCGCUCGGCGUGUGUGCUGUGUGUGCUUGCUGGUGCCCUGUACUGCGGUGGGACGUCAAGGUCAGUUCGUAUGCUGCGGGAAAUGGCUGCCGAGGAGGUAGGGCUUACGCUUGCGUUUGUCUGUUAUAUCUUGGUGGACGAGUAGUCGCGGUUGGGACUGAGGUGCCUACAACGUGCUUUUGAGUGGGUUUGUGUCUCCGUGUGCGCCGUGUGCGGAUAGCUUGCUAUGCGUGUGUGGUUGUGUGUGGAUUGAUGCGGGCUUUAACUUGUUGCCGUUC
rnacentral:rRNA from 2 species